GAAACCCCCUCGCCGAAAGACUAAGGUUUCCUGAUCAACGCUAAUCGGAUCAGGGUCAGUCGGGUCCUAAGGCUCAGCCGAACGGCGAUGCCGAUGGCAGAAACGGUUAAUAUUCCGUUACUACCUUCAGGAGUGACGUGGAGACGCAGUAGUGACAGUGCCGCCAUCUGACGGAAUAGAUGGUUGAAGGGUGUAGGAGUCGAUCAUGGCAGGCAAAUCCACCAUGAGAUCCGAACCUGAUAGUAUGCCGCGUCCUUCGGGACAAGGCAAUAGUGCGCGUAAGCAUGCUGCCGAGAAAAUCCGCUAAACUUAAUCCUGCAGGUACCCGUACCGCAAACGGACACACGUAGUCGGGAUGAAUAUUCUAAGGCGCUUGAGUGAUUCACGGUUAAGGAACUAGGCAAACUGACCCUGUAACUUCGGGAUAAAGGGUCCCUACCCUUUUAUGGGAGGGCGCAGAGAAUCGGUCCAGGCAACUGUUUAACAAAAACACAGGGCUGUGCCAAAUCGAAAGAUCCAGUAUACAGCCUGACACCUGCCCGGUGCUGGAAGGUUAAGAGGAGAUGUCAUCGAUAAGAGAAGCGUUGAAUUGAAGCCCCAGUAAACGGCGGCCGUAACUAUAACGGUCCUAAGGUAGCGAAAUUCCUUGUCGGGUAAGUUCCGACCUGCACGAAUGGUGUAAUGAUCUGGACACUGUCUCAACCGUGAGCUCAGUGAAAUUGUAGUAUCGGUGAAGAUGCCGAUUACCCGCGAUGGGACGAAAAGACCCCGUGAACCUUUACUAUAGCUUAUCAUUGAAUCUGGGCACGUGAUGUGUAGGAUAGGUCGGAGGCUUUGAAGCAGGUACGCCAGUAUUUGUGGAGCCGCUGUUGAAAUACGACCCUUUAUUUGUUUGGAUUCUAACCCGUGGAUACGGGGACAUUGAUUGGUGGGUAGUUUGACUGGGGUGGUCGCCUCCAAAAGCGUAACGGAGGCUUCUAAAGGUGCCCUCCGGCCGAUUGGUAACCGGCCUUAGAGUGUAAUGGCAUAAGGGCGCUUGACUGGGAGACUGACAAGUCGAUCAGGUAGGAAACUAGAGCAUAGUGAUCCGGUGUUUCCGUAUGGAAGGGACAUCGCUCAAAGGAUAAAAGGUACUCCGGGGAUAACAGGCUGAUCCCUCCCA
rnacentral:rRNA from 1 species